GACGUCGUGCCCGAGUGGUUAAGGGGAGUGAUUAGAAUACGGCUCUAGCCAUAAAUAUCACUUGCGGUCUCCGCGCGCAAGUUCGAGUCUUGUCGACGUCG